AUGCGAUGCCGCGGCACCGGAGGUAGUCAUGCUCAACGUCUCCAGCACGGCGAAGAUGAGCAGCAACCAGGGCAAGUCACUAUGGUUCUACUUCUACGGAUUCUUGUCCGCCUUCUUCGUCAUCGAGGUGUUUGUGAUAGCGUUUGGGUGCUGGCUCUUCUCCAAGAAAGGGAUACUGUCCAGGCCAUCGGAGCUUCUGGCCGUGAAGGGUACAGGAUGAUCACCAGCCAUUUCCGGGCAUACAGCUACUCAGAGCUGCAGAGUGCCACCAGGAAGUUCCGUGCCAAGAUCGGGCAUGGUGGUUCGGGCACCGUGUACAAGGGGGUCCUGGACGACGACAGGACGGUGGCCGUCAAGGUGCUGCAGGAUGUGAGCCAGAGCGAGGAGGUGUUCCAGGCCGAGCUGAGCGCGAUCGGCAGGAUCUACCACAUGAACUUGGUGAGGAUGUGGGGGUUCUGCUCGGAAGGCGCGCACCGGAUUCUGGUCUACGAGUACGUCCACAACGGAUCACUGGCAAAUGUGCUGUUCCAAAGCACCGGAAAUUCCGGCAGGUUGCUGGGAUGGAGGCAGAGGUUCAACAUCGCCGUCGGCGUGGCCAAGGGACUGGCAUAUCUUCACAAUGAGUGCCUAGAGUGGAUCAUCCACUGCGACAUGAAGCCGGAGAACAUACUGCUGGAUGAUGAAAUGGAGCCCAAGAUCACCGACUUCGGGCUGGCGAAGCUGCUCAACAGAGAUGGGUCCGACUCGGGCCUGUCGCGGAUCCGAGGAACAAGGGGGUACAUGGCGCCCGAGUGGGUCUCCAGCCUUCCCAUCACUGAGAAGGUCGACGUGUACAGCUACGGAGUGGUGCUCCUGGAACUGAUGAAAGGGAAGAGGGUUUCAGAUUGGGUGGUGGAUGGGAAAGAAGGGUUUGAAACUGAUGUGAGAACUGUGGUUAAGAUGAUUGUUGACAGAUCGAAGCACAGCAAUGGAGGAUGGGUUGCGGACCUGGUGGAUGAACGGUUGGAUGGCGAAUUUCAUCAUGCGCAAGCUAAAAUAUUUGCCCAAUUGGCUGUCUCAUGUUUAGAGGAAGAUAGAAACAAAAGGCCCGGUAUGAAGAAUGUAGUGCAGACGCUCAUCUCUGCAGAUGAUGAGUCCAGAGAUAAUGAAUAUCCAGAAAUUUGA
rnacentral:rRNA from 1 species